AGUGAACGCUGGCGGUAGGCCUAACACAUGCAAGUCGAACGGCAGCACAGGAGAGCUUGCUCUCUGGGUGGCGAGUGGCGGACGGGUGAGGAAUACAUCGGAAUCUGCCCAGUCGUGGGGGAUAACGUAGGGAAACUUACGCUAAUACCGCAUACGACCUUCGGGUUAAAGAGGGGGAUCGCAAGACCUCUCGCGAUUGGAUGAUCCGAUGUCGGAUUAGCUAGGUGGCGGGGUAAUGGCCCACCAAGGCGACGGUCCCUAGCUGGUGUGAGAGGAUGAGCCGCCACUCUGGAACUGAGACACGGUCCAGACUCCGACGGGAGGCAGCAGUGGGGAAUAUUGGACAAUGGGCGCAAGCCUGAUCCAGCCAUACCGCGUGGGUGAAGAAGGCCUUCGGGUGGUAAAGCCCUUUUGUUGGGAAAGACAUCUUUCAGGCUAAGACCCUGGGAGGAUGACGGUACCCAAAGAAUAAGCACCGGCUAACUUCGU
rnacentral:rRNA from 1 species